rnacentral:rRNA from 1 species
GACGAACGCUGGCGGCGUGCCUAAUACAUGCAAGUCGAACGCAGUGGGGACGGGUGAGUAACACGUGGGUAACCUCCCAUCAGAGGGGAUAACACUUGGAAACAGGUGCUAAACCGAUACUGAUGGAUGAACCCGCGGUGCAUUAGCGACUUGUUGGGGUAACGGCGCACCAAGGCCACGAUGCAUAGCCGACCUGAGAGGAUGAUCGGCCACACUGGGACUGAGACACGGCCCAGACUCCGACGGGAGGCAGCAGUAGGGAAUCUUCGGAAAUGGACGAAAGUCUGACCAAGCAACGCCGCGUGAAUGAAGAAGGUUUUCGGAUCGUAAAACUCUUUUGUUAGAGAAGCGGUAUCUAACCAGAAAGCCACGGCUAACUACGUGCCAGCAGCCGAGGUAAUUC